CCUACGGGAGGCAGCAGUGAGGAAUAUUGGUCAAUGGCCGAGAGGCUGAACCAGCCAAGUCGCGUGAGGGAAGACGGCCCUACGGGUUGUAAACCUCUUUUGUCGGGGAUCAAAGCGAGUCACGUGUGACCCCUUGAGAGUACCCGCAGAAAAAGCCUCGGCUAACUCCGUGCCAGCAGCCGCGGUAAUACGGAGGAUGCGAGCGUUAUACGGAUUUAGUGGGUUUAAGGGGUGCGCAGGCGGGGGUGCAAGUCAGCGGUAAAAUUUCGGGGCACAACCCCGUACUGCCGUUGAACAGGCAUCCAUUGAGUACGCGAGAAGUAUGCGGAAUGCGUGGUGUAGCGGUGAAAUGCAUAGAUAUCACGCAGAACUCCGAUUGCGAAGGCAGCAUACCGGCGCGCAACUGACGCUCAUGCACGAAAGCGUGGGUAUCGAACAGGAUUAGAUACCCGGGUAGUC
rnacentral:rRNA from 1 species